UUUUUCUCAAAGUGACAGACCCCCACUUGCCUUGGAAUCUUACCACUUUUCAGUAAUAACUUUAAAUUAAAAUGAUAAAUGGUGAUUGACCAGCACAUACUAAGCAAACAACCUAGAAUAACAAAUAAGUUCAUGAACAUGUGGAAGAGAUAGCAAAACCUAGCACAACUUUGAAAAAACUCUUGCUCAGCAUUUUAUAAACAAACAUGAAAAAUUCUUCAAAGUAUGGAAGACCUUAAGAUCUUAGUCAUAAGAGUUCACAGAUGGAAUUAAGAAGAAUCAGUAUGAUACACUUCAUGACCAAAAGUGUAGGUUUCUUUCCUAGCAAGAUCUGAGAGAGGAAACCUAUGUGAAAACUAAAGCAGAUUUUUUUCCAAUACAGCCAAACACAAUUGUCAGUGUAGGUGAAAUUCAAUGUUAGUUGUUUCAACUAUUUGCUUUUGGGGGCAUUGGGCAGUACAGGCUCCACAGAGAACAAUGGUUCUCAAAGUUAUAGGGUGGCAGCAGGUUAUCUGGACAGCUUCUUUCAAGCCUACACACCUGGAUUUCCCUCUUGUCCCGUACAUUUUGCAAUUCUUCCACAGAUGGGGAGGCUGCAGGACACAUACAUUUCGCAAAAGAUAACCAAUGCUUUUUUUGUACCUUCCCUACAGAGAACCACUGAUAGAUACAGAAGGACUGAACUAAAAAUGCACUCGAAGACAAGAAACACAAGCAGUCUCCUACAGAAAGCAAAUCGAGAGCUCAUCUGAAAUGGAAAUGACCUAACCACACAAAGUUCUGCACCUGAAGAUGAAGUCUUCACCUUCCCAGAUCCAUCCUUUUACUUUUAGGAAUCUUCACUGUUUUUAGCCCAGUUCCAGGGCUUCUCGUUCUCACUAUAUUUCCUACUAAUCAUGAGCCUCCCUUUGCUUUUCUCUGGAAGUCACAAGAAUACAGACCCUACCUGGCCCUUGCCUUGUGAAUAUGGAUGGAGUCUAAGAAUUUACAGGGAGUAAUAAUUUCCCAUGAGCAGUGCAAGAUUGUUAAGAAACUCAAAUUUUAGGAAGGAAAGCAUUAACUUGCAUUCUACAGAGCUUACAGAGUUAUAAAGAAUAAUAUCCAUAAAAAAAAAUAAUAAUAUCCAUUCCAGUCGAG
rnacentral:lncRNA from 1 species